GCGCCGCUUCCAACUCGUUUUUCGUUAACAACACCUUGUUCCUCACCAAUGUCAAUUUUUCACUCUCUCUCUCUCUAUAUUCAUUUUGAUUGUCGUUUUUGCUUCUUCAAUUGUCGUUUUGUGUUUCUUGUUUCUUUCAGGAUGCGUUCGAGAGGCACCGCAUGGUCUUUACGGUUGGGACUUCCAUUGCCUCCGUUGCCACUGCUUGGAUCGGGUAUUCAUUGCGCCAUUUCCAUGAUGAAAAGGUUGAACAAAGGCUUGAAUCAAUUGAAAAAGCUGUGA